GACGAACGCUGGCGGCGUGCCUAACACAUGCAAGUCGAGCGAACAGAUCAGGAUUUUGCUCCUCUGACGUUUGCCGCGGACGGGUGAGUAACAUGUGUAUAACCCACCUAAAAGACUGGUAAAAUCUCGGGACACCGGAGCUUAUACCGGAUAAUAUAUUGAUCCGUAUGGUUCAAUAGUGAAAUUCGGUUUUUCUGGAUCUACUAGAUGGAUCCGCGCCGCAUUAGCUAGUUGUUAAGGUAAAGGCUUAUCAAGGCUACGAGGCGUAGCCGACCUGAGAGGGUGGUCGGCCACACGGGAGCUGAGACGCGCUCCAGACUCCUACGGUAGGCAACAGUAGGGAAUCUUCCGCAAUGGGGGAGAGCCUGACGGAGCGACGGGGCGUGAGUGAUGAAGAUGUUCGGUGCGUGAAACUCUGUUAUUAGGGAAAAACAAAUGUGUAAGUAGCUGUGCAGGUCUUGACGGUACCUGGUCAAGAAGCCACGGCUAACUACGUG
rnacentral:rRNA from 1 species